GGUAGGGUAGCUAAGCGUCAGGCAGUGGGUUGUAGCCCCAAAAACGAAGGUUUAAAUCCUUUUCCUAUCA
rnacentral:tRNA from 1 species